CAAAAUAUAACAAUAUCCGUACAAAAUUUAAAUCCAAAAUUCUUAAGCACCUAAGAAAAAAAAAAGUGGUGAGUAAGACAGCCUCAUCAGCCUCCAUACUUUUCUUCUCCGCAAUCUUCCACACAAGCUUAGCCUUAACUACGACGGGUUAAUUUUUCGGCAAAACUCCAUUAUCCAGAACCUUAAAGUACCGGCUACAGAUGGGAGCAUUAAAGCUUCUUGAGGAGGCUUUUAAAUGUUUCUGAAUUGAACUCGCAACAAUUCAACACACAAACUGAUUCACAUUAAUCAUGUUACAAACUCGAAGUUUUAUCACCUGUCUGCAAGAAACGGAAAAGCAUCAUAUCAACAUUAGCUCUAAUAAGGCAAGAACAUUUGGUUAGUUUUGCUAGCAUCGUAUCAACAUUAGCUCCUGUAGUAUGUGCCAGUGACUUCAGCAAAAAUCAUUCAUUUUGGUGCACAUUCAAAAAGAAAAUGAUCCAGCAAUCAACCACAAAUUGGAAAGCUUAAUUAAAUACUAAAACUAGCAUCAUCCUUAUUCUCCAAAGACUUCAAGUGUGCUUGACCGCUUGUGGCAUUUGGAGAUACAGCUUAGAAAUUAAACUUAUCAAAUGCAUCAUCUUGUCUUUCUUUUUUUUCUUAACUGUUACUUAGAGCAUGUUUAUCUAAUCUUUAAAAAAAAAUUUCCAAACGUGUUCGGAUAUGAUAAAAAAUUAAAUCAUUGCUUAGUUCCAAAUUUGAUCAACAAAGAAUUACAUAUCUAAAAACUUGUUCACAUACCAAUGAGUAAAUUUUCUCACAAAGGCAAGGUGGGAAUGGCAUAAACAGAGUCCUUUCUAAGAAUUAAAAACACAAUGGCAUUUAGUUCUUUCUACAAAUGUUCACAAACAACUCGAUUCAGAAAAAACAUUGUUUUGUACCAUCUCCAAACCGAUGGUUAAACUUGAAACAAUUUCAGAAAAGAGACCUUGAAAGAUUCAGUUUUCUAAAUAUUGUAAAUUAAUUACACUGCAGUUAUGGUACUUUGAUGAUAGAAUUCAAACUAUUAUGAAUAUUAUGCAUAUUCCAUCAAAAUUGAACCCAAAAAAUAUCUGCUUGGUAGAAUGAAACUGUGCAACUUUUAAUAUACACAGCAUAAGCAUGCUAGAGAUGGCAAACCCCAGGCAGCCUAAAAGAAUUUUACAGCCUUGAAAUAGUCUGAUUUAAUAAUGGAACCUUUAGGAAAUAUAAUAAAACAAUACAGUCAAUGAAUGAACAAAAACUUUUCACAUUGAUACGUUCUAAAGAAUAAAAUACAUUUAAAAAGCUACAAAUAAAGGAGAACUGAGACUUACAACUGGGAGUAGUGAGCUUUAGAGUGUGGAAGCAAAUAUCAUAGAGGGCCACAUUAUCCAGAACCAUACACUCAUUAGCAUUCUCAACAAGCUGGGGUAUUAACUGAGUAGCAUUGUACGGCUCUACAACUGUGUCAGACACUUUUGGAGAUGGAAACACUGAAAAUGUAAGCAUCAUUCGAUCUGAGUAUUCUUCCUUUAUCUUGGGUAUCAACAGGGUCCCCAUCCCCGACCCAGUGCCACCACCCAACGAGUGACAUGCUUGAAAUCCUUGAGAAUACAAAGACAAUUCAUCAAACAAACCAGCAUUAAGCUGUAUUGCAGUAGAAAUAGAACUUCCACACAUCAAACAUCCAAAAGGCCAAUAUUGUUUUGUGGAGAGCAGUUUUGUUAAAAUACUUUCAAUGAGCAGAAAGAAAUUUAUCAAUCAUCUUCCACAAACAUCACAAAACUAAAGAAGCAUCCACAAGUUGAUACAAACAACUUAUUUGCACAACUCUGGUACAUCUGGCCAAGAUACAAUAUUUCCUAAAUAAAGUUCCAACAAGUAAUACUAAUCUUUUUUCAUUAGUGAAAUGUAAAUAUGAAGCCAAUGUGUCACCAAAUUUCUAUUUACUCCAUUUUUGAGUGGAUUUGAUACCAAAUAAAAUUUCUUUGACAGACAGUUACACACUAUUAAUAGUACAUCACUAUUGCAAACCUGUAACUGGCUUCAUUUUUGCUUAAAUAUUCAUACAAUCGUGCAUUCUUGUCUCUAUACAAGUACUAUUAGACCUGGUAUUUCAAAGGCUCGUUAAGCACAACAUAUAAU
rnacentral:lncRNA from 1 species